UGUUACUGUACGUACAAUAUAUUAUAUUAUUGUCUUUUCUCGUUUUUGUCGAAUAAAACACCAUUCAGUAAAACCCGGCGGCUUACCGGUCGGAAUUCAAUUAUUAUUGUUAUCGUACAGUUUAAAACGACAAACACUCGAUUAAACUACAGAACGAUCAAAUAUAUUGUACACACCCGAGUCCGCGCCGCGACGUGAUAAAUAACGUAUACCGUUUUACAGGUCGGUUGCGGGUCCUAGCGGAGAGGGUUGUUCGCAAAGAAAAGCAAUACAAUUUCACGGAGAGAGCAGGCUAUAAAAUGUGUUCAGGGACGAUUGACGACCCACCGCGGAUGAACCACGAGUCACGACGCGGAAAAACUCCGUCCAAGUCGAACAUCGGAGCUUCGUUGUAAUAUAAUAUUAUGCGCCGGAUAUUAUUAUAAUUUACGGUACACUGGAAGGCGGGAGGAUGUUUUAAUUUUGUUGGUGUUCGAACGACGGUCGUCGCCACCGCGGCGCCUGCGAACGCAUCCACGUACACCAUCGAAUCUCAUAUAAAUAUCGACAGGUGAUAUAUGCAGCCUAUAACGAAAAAAGUAAUGGGUAAAUCUGAGGCCCCUAAUAAAUUCUAACGAUUGAGGCCCGGGAGCCAUGGCCCCCCUGGACCCCCCAAUCCAAGCUUGGUUGGACCAUGUAUUAUUCACUGUUUUCCAUGGCUAGGGUAUGCAAUCAUAAACAAUGACGUGGGAUUAUUCGAGUGCACUAUUAAAAACGUCGACGUUUAUAUUAUAAAGUUAUAUAAGUUAUGUAUACAAAAUAUGAUUAUAACUAUAGAUACACGAAACCACAAAAAAUACUAAAUAUCUAGAGACAAAGCAACGUUAUACUACCUUUUAUUUCUACCUCAUGUAUAUAAAUGUGUUAUACAUAUUAUAAAUGUGUUUUGUAUUCAGUAAAACGUUCUUUUGAAUUAUACACGAUGACUAUAUGAGACAGAAAUAUAAUACGCAAAUGCAAGAAACCUAAUUAAAUUGUAGGUAGGUACGUAAAUCUAAUAUACAUAUAUAUUGUAUUUUUUUGUUUUACGUUAUAAACGUCUCAGGGUUGUAAAUAUUUUCAACGUUUUGAUGAACUCUAGGGGAUACUUUAUAGUUUAUAUACCCAUAUAAAUUCCUAUUUUUUUAAAUUACCGCCACAACAGUGCUGGACUCGUUUGAGUGAUUUUAUAUUUUCCUUUCAACUCAUGGUUUUAUUGCGACAACAUAUUUUAUAAACAUACCUAUAUAUUAAAUAUUAUUUUCCCUUUUAUUUCAUAUUUUCAUUUUAACAAUUGUUACAAUAAUACCCGUACCUAAAUAUUUUGUUUUGUGAUACAUAAACAAUAAUAUGUAUAAUAGCUUUAGUAAAUUACAACCAAAAUCGAAAACCGAACUGGAAAACAUGCCUUUUAAAGAGCACAUUACAUCUCUCAUAUACUUAUAUUAUAUAAAAAAAAUUUCAGUAGUAAGUUUGAUGUAAGUACUUGUUCAAAUAAAAAAAUAAAAAACUGAUUUGUAUGUAAAUAUUAAUAAUCAGUGUAUCUAUAACGUGUGAAAAAAUUGUUUUUUUCAGUCACUAACGUCAAACUGUAACGAGAAAAAGUUUUUAUGCGUAUAGUUAUUAUAUUUUGUUAAUUAACUGA